rnacentral:rRNA from 1 species
UACGAGGGGGGCAAAUGUUGUUCGGAAUCACUGGGCGUAAAGGGAGCGUAGGCGGGCUUCUAAGUUAGGUGUUUAAUCCCGGGGCCCAACCCCGGUCAGGCACCUAAAACUGGGAGUCUUGAAUAGUGGAGAGGUCAGUGGAAUUGGGGGUGUAGCGGUGGAAUGCGUAGAGAUCCCCAAGAACACCAGUUGCGAAGGCGGCUGACUGGACACAUAUUGACGCUGAGGCGCGAAAGCCAGGGGAGCAAACGGG